CGUGUAGGCGGUUUUUUAAGUCUGAUGUGAAAGCCCUGGGCUCAACCUGGGAAGUGCAUUGGAUACUGGAAGACUUGAAUACGGGAGAGGGUAGUGGAAUUCCUGGUGUAGGAGUGAAAUCCGUAGAUAUCAGGAGGAACACCGGUGGCGAAGGCGGCUGCCUGGACCGAUAUUGACGCUGAGACGCGAAAGCGUGGGUAGCAAACA
rnacentral:rRNA from 1 species